rnacentral:lncRNA from 1 species
GCCAUGUGUCCCCUAACCCUGUCACCGGGUCCCAGCCACCUCACGGGGACACUGUCCCCGUGGCCCCUGGGGUUCCAGCCCCCCCCCCCAUGGGGCUGUAGGAGCUGAGCUGGGGGACCCUGGGUGGGUGGCUGCAAGCGGGCACCGCUCAGCUCCGUGCCUCAGUUUCCCUUUGUGCCCAGGUCUUCCAGGCACCCUGCUGGGAGCUGGGGCACCCCUACGGCGGGGGGAACGGGGAGGUCCCAGAUACCCGGGUCCACGUCCCCAGGGCACCUUGGCACCCCGGGGCACGGGGUUGCCCCCGACGGUGCUGAGCUGGCAUGGGAUUACGCUAAUCCCUGCUCUGGCUCAGCCGGAGCUGGCGGGGUCACCGGGGCUGGCACCGAGGGGACAACCUGGGGUCACCCCGGCUGGCACCGAGGGGUGCCCCAGGAAUGGUGCCUGGCCUUGGUGGGUGCUGCAGGAGGGGGGUCCCCAGCACUGGGUGGGGGUGGCCAGGGGGUGGCAGGUCCCCAGGGAAGUCCCGCUGACUCUGCCCGUCCGUCUCUUGCAGCCCCUCGGUCACCAGGAUGGUGAGUGGCCCCCAGGUGGGGGGAACCGGGCAGAGGUGGGUGCCCCAUCCCGGUGGGGCACGGCCCCGGUGAGCCCCGGCGGUGCCGGGCACUGCUGUAGGGAAGCGGGCGGCGUGGCGAGCUGUGCCCACCCGCCGCGUGACCCCGUGGGGACAAGGGGACGCUUUGUCCGGGAGCUGGCGGCCACGGCGGCUGGCACUGCCCCGCCAUCCCCGAGGCGGUGGCUCUGUGCCCGGCACCCGCAGCCCCCCAGCACCCUGACACCCCCACCCACGAGUGGGCAGCGGCGCCCUGUGCCCCUCUGCCCCGUGGCAGCCCCUUACCCCCGCGGCCGCCCCAUGUCCCUCAUGCCAGCAUCCUACCGCCGUGCCCACCCAGCGUCUGCCCCAAUGCCGGCUGCACACCAGUCCCAUGCCAGUCCCGUGCCAGCCCCUUAGCCCUGUGCCAGCCCCAUGUCAACCCCCUGCCAACCCAGUAGUCCCAUGCCAGUCCCAUUCCAGUCCCUUAACCCCAUGCCAGCCCCAUGCCAACCCAUUAG